CAAGGUUUCCCGUAGGUGAACCUGCGGAAGGAUCAUUG
rnacentral:rRNA from 3 species